rnacentral:rRNA from 1 species
AGCGAACGCUGGCGGCAGGCUUAACACAUGCAAGUCGAACGGGCGUAGCAAUACGUCAGUGGCAGACGGGUGAGUAACGCGUGGGAACGUACCUUUUGGUUCGGAACAACCCAGGGAAACUUGGGCUAAUACCGGAUAAGCCCUUACGGGGAAAGAUUUAUCGCCGAAAGAUCGGCCCGCGUCUGAUUAGCUAGUUGGUGUGGUAACGGCGCACCAAGGCGACGAUCAGUAGCUGGUCUGAGAGGAUGAUCAGCCACAUUGGGACUGAGACACGGCCCAAACUCCUACGGGAGGCAGCAGUGGGGAAUAUUGGACAAUGGGCGCAAGCCUGAUCCAGCCAUGCCGCGUGAGUGAUGAAGGCCCUAGGGUUGUAAAGCUCUUUUGUGCGGGAAGAUAAUGACGGUACCGCAAGAAUAAGCCCCGGCUAACUUCGUGCCAGCAGCCGCGGUAAC